rnacentral:rRNA from 1 species
UACGGGGGAUGCAAGCGUUAUCCGGAUUUAUUGGGUUUAAAGGGUGCGUAGGCGGAUUUGUAAGUCAGCGGUAAAAAUGCGGUGCUCAACGCCGUAUCGCCGUUGAAACUGCAGGUCUUGAGUGAGCGAGAAGUAUGCGGAAUGCGUGGUGUAGCGGUGAAAUGCAUAGAUAUCGCGCAGAACCCCGAUUGCGAAGGCAGCGUGCCGUGCCGCCACUGACGCUGAGGCACGAAAGCGCGGGGAUCGAACAGG